UUUGACAUCAAAGAAAAACAG
rnacentral:piRNA from 1 species